GGGAACCUUCUGGCGGUUGCCACAGGAGUCUUGCCAAGCCUGGCAGCUCCUGGUGCCAGGAGGUCCUGGUCCUCAGGGGUGCUGCAGCAAGGUCCUGCUGCCCCCACAGAGAAGUAGGCUAGUGAAUCCACAGUGUUGUGAGGAGUGAGAGAAGGGGGCACUAAUGGGGCCUGGCCGGGCAGCUAUGAUUGGGAGAGUGCCCUGGGGGCGGAGCUAGGCAGACAACAAGGGUGGGUUGGGCGACUCCACAACCACUAAAGAGGAUUGAAGGUUCUCUAGCUGCAGAAGGUCACCCUGAGCCUGAAGCUAAGCUCUCCCGAGGGGGAAGAAGAAAGAUCACCAAUGGCAGAAGGCCGUGGCAGCAUAGGCGCAGAAAGAGCUUGUUUUGUGCUCAGGAGAGAACACGGCAUCUCAGCCUCCUGGUUUUAGUGGCAUUCAGCAUUCAAGAAGGAUAACCCAACCUACCCGUCAUGGCAACUGCAGAAGCUAUACCUGAAGUAGUGGAAGGCCCCUUAUUAGAAACCACCCAGCGAGAUUUUUUGCAAGAAGCAAAAUCUCUUAUCGCCCAGCAUUACAAGAGAGUAAACGAGAAUAAGGCUCAUGGAACGUCUAUAGAUGUCUUUAAAAACAAACACCAAAAACCGAAAACUGGCCAAUUCAUACCUUUCGAGAUUAAGAAAAGUGAAAUCCUUAAUGUCGUUGAAGAACAUCGGUUGGUACUCAGAAGCAUUAGCUCCCCCAAGGACACUGCCAAAUGCUCAAAUUUAACUGAGGCCUCACAGCAAACUUCCUUGAAGGAGCAGCAUGUUCCGAAUAUAAAAAAUAAGUACCAGCCUGUAGACCUUUUAAAAAAAGAAAAAGUGAAACUGGGUAAAAUAAUGGACGAUAUUGAAUCCGUGAGUAAGAGAAUGGAGAAAGAGAAGGAGAUGAAUCUCAGGAAGUACAGGAUGUCGGAACCCUUCCAUUCCCAGAUUGGCUUGUCUUUGCAUAAUGCGACCUCCCAUUUGGGACUUCUGAAGGAACUUGGUGAGUUUCCCUGGACAAAUGCUGGGAGCAGUAGUGAUUUUCAUUAUAUAAACCAAAGAGAUGGUAUUGAGC
rnacentral:lncRNA from 1 species